AUUUCUUUAUUUGAAGGAAUGGUACAAAUCAAAGAACUUAAGUGGAUGUUUUGGUACAACUUAUAGAAAAGGUAAAGGAAACCCUAACGUGCACGCACUGCCUUGGUGACCAAGGAAGGCACCCCACGGCUAUGGGGAAAUUAGCCUGAGACUUAGCUUUCAUUAUCACUGUCUCCCAGGGUGUGCUUGUCGAAGAGAUAUUCUGCCGAGCCAGAUUCGGGCGCUCCCAUCUUGCGCAAGUUGGUCACGUGGUCACUCAAUUCUUUGAUGGCUUUCACCUGCUCAUUCAGGUAAUGUGUCUCAAUGAAGUCACACAAAUGGGGGUCAUUUUUGUCAGUGGCCAGUUUGUACAGUUCCAGUAGUGACUGAUUCACAUUUUUUUCCAAAUAUAAUGCACACUCCAUCGCAUUCAGCCCGCUCUCCCAGUCAUCACAGUCUGGUUUCUUGAUAUCCUGAAGGAAGAUUCGGCCACCUCGUUGGUUCUGCAGCUUCAUCAGUUUCUCAGCAUGUUCCCUCUCCUCAUGAGAUUGGUAAAGAAAGUAUUUGGCAAAGUUCUUCAAAGCCACAUCAUCGCGGUCAAAGUAUAAGACAUGGACAGAAAACCUUUGGCAAAGACACUUUCUACAUCUUGAAGGCAAGGAAUCUGAAUCUUGAAGAGAUUAAAUGAAUUGUCCAAAGUCACGUGGGGGUUUGGGAGAAGGAAAAUCAUGAACACACAUUCUUCUACUCUGGAGAAGUGGGGAAGGUGACCUGGGAAACCAUCUGAAAGGGAGCAGGAUGGAUUCUAUAAAAUAUAGAGUGUUCAAUGAAAACAACCUGAUGCUCCUCCCAGUACCAUCACAUUUUUCUAGCUGCAUAUCCUUAGAUCCGACCAUGACUUGGAAGUAUCCAGAAAUAGGACAGCGUGUAGAAAUACUUCCCAAUCAACAGCUCAACAAAUAGGACUGGACUUCCAGGAGUCCCA
rnacentral:lncRNA from 1 species